GUCUAUGGCCAUGCCACUCUGAACAAGCCGGAUCCCCUCUGAUCCGAAGCUAAGCAGGGUUGGGCCUGGUUAGUACUUGGAUGGGAGACCACCUAGGAAGAUCAGGUACUGCAGGUG
rnacentral:rRNA from 1 species